CACGUAGGGCGCAAGCGUUGUCCGGAAUUAUUGGGCGUAAAGAGCUCGUAGGUGGUUUGUCGCGUUGUUCGUGAAAACUCACAGCUCAACUGUGGGCGUGCGGGCGAUACGGGCAGACUUGAGUACUGCAGGGGAGACUGGAAUUCCUGGUGUAGCGGUGGAAUGCGCAGAUAUCAGGAAGAACACCCGUGGCUAAGGCGGCUCUCUAGUACGGUACUGACGCUGAGACGCGAAAGCGUGGGGAGCGAACAGG
rnacentral:rRNA from 1 species